rnacentral:rRNA from 1 species
AAGAAGCAGAGGGGGCUUAGUGGUGGGGUGACUGCGUACCUUUUGUAUAAUGGGUCAGCGACUUAUAUUCUGUAGCAAGGUUAACCGAAUAGGGGAGCCGUAGGGAAACCGAGUCUUAACCGGGCGUUAAGUUGCAGGGUAUAGACCCGAAACCCGGUGAUCUAGCCAUGGGCAGGUUGAAGGUUGGGUAACACUAACUGGAGGACCGAACCGACUAAUGUUGAAAAAUUAGCGGAUGACCUGUGGCUGGGGGUGAAAGGCCAAUCAAACCGGGAGAUAGCUGGUUCUCCCCGAAAGCUAUUUAGGUAGCGCCUCGUGAAUUCAUCUCCGGGGGUAGAGCACUGUUUCGGCUAGGGGGCCAUCCCGGCUUACCAACCCGAUGCAAACUGCGAAUACCGGAGAAUGUUAUCACGGGAGACACACGGCGGGUGCUAACGUCCGUCGUGAAGAGGGAAACAACCCAGACCGCCAGCUAAGGUCCCAAAGUCAUGGUUAAGUGGGAAACGAUGUGGGAAGGCCCAGACAGCCAGGAUGUUGGCUUAGAAGCAGCCAUCAUUUAAAGAAAGCGUAAUAGCUCACUGGUCGAGUCGGCCUGCGCGGAAGAUGUAACGGGGCUAAACCAU